AUGUGUGUGCCAAAAGACCAAGGAGGAAUGGGUGUUCGAGACAUACAUUGUUUUAAUCUAGCCUUGUUAGCCAAACAAGCGUGGCGCCUGCUUGAUAAUCCUGAUUCCCUAUGUGCCAUCAUUUUGAGAGCUAAAUAUUUUCCGGAUGGAGAUUUAAUGAAUGCGAGUCUGAAAAAAGGAUCCUCUUUCACUUGGCAAAGCAUUAUGGCCGGAGUGGAUUCUCUCAAAAAAGGUUAUAUUUGGAGAGUUGGUAAUGGACAGAAUAUUGAUAUUUGA
rnacentral:rRNA from 1 species